GCCCACUUCCCAGCGCGAUAGAUUUUAGGUGCCAAAGGAGGGCACCAGCCUGUGCAGAAUUAAGCUGUGUUUUUUCGCAAGCAUGACAUCGUCUUGGUACGAGGCUCGUACGGGCUCUUUGAUUGGGUCUCAUUGUGAAGCCGUAGAGGGCAGUGAGGUCAUUCUGCUCUCAUCAGAAUCCUCCGCGUUCCGCCGCUUAAAAAGCGCCGAAGCAUUUCAAACCACGCUUUUUAAAGUGGAGGUCAAACGGCCAAA
rnacentral:lncRNA from 1 species